GCAAUCUCGGACGAGAGUCUAGUAAAGACAUUCUGGGGGAUACGCGAGGUGUUCAUUCGGGCUGAGUGAGCAUCGCGUAGGGUAGGUAUCGGUAAGUUCUUUUACCGAUAGACGGGAUACUAAUGUCGUGGAUGCGGCAUGUGAAUGGGAAACCCAACA
rnacentral:ncRNA from 1 species